rnacentral:rRNA from 1 species
UACAGAGGGCGCGAGCGUUGUUCGGAUUCAUUGGGCGUAAAGGGCUCGUAGGUGGCCAACUAAGUUCAGACGUGAAAUCCCCCGGCUCAACUGGGGAACUGCACAGGAAACUGCGGGACUGAGUUCGGGAGAGGGAAGCGGAAUUCCGGGUGUAGCGGUGGAAAUGGCGUAGAUAUCCGGAGGAACACCGGUGGCGAAGGCGGCUUCCUGGACCGACACUGACGCUGAGGC